GACGAACGCUGGCGGCGUGCUUAACACAUGCAAGUCGAGCGGUAAGGCCCUUUCGGGGGUACACGAGCGGCGAACGGGUGAGUAACACGUGGGUGACCUGCCCUCAGCUCUGGGAUAAGCCUGGGAAACCGGGUCUAAUACUGGAUAUGACUCCAUGACGCAUGUUGUGGGGUGGAAAGCCUUGUGCGGCUGAGGAUGGGCCCGCGGCCUAUCAGCUUGUUGGUGGGGUGANGGCCUACCAAGGCGACGACGGGUAGCCGGCCUGAGAGGGCGACCGGCCACACUGGGACUGAGACACGGCCCAGACUCCUACGGGAGGCAGCAGUGGGGAAUCUUGCGCAAUGGGCGAAAGCCUGACGCAGCGACGCCGCGUGAGGGAUGACGGCCUCGGUGUAACUCUCCUACGCUCCGACGAACGCGAGAGUGACGGUAGGAG
rnacentral:rRNA from 1 species